GAGAAUGCCGGUGUGAGUAGCGAAAGACGGGUGAGAAUCCCGUCCACCGAUUGACUAAGGUUUCCAGAGGAAGGCUCGUCCGCUCUGGGUUAGUCGGGUCCUAAGCUGAGGCCGACAGGCGUAGGCGAUGGAUAACAGGUUGAUAUUCCUGUACCACCUAUAAUCGUUUUAAUCGAUGGGGGGACGCAGUAGGAUAGGCGAAGCGUGCGAUUGGAUUGCACGUCUAAGCAGUAAGGCUGAGUAUUAGGCAAAUCCGGUACUCGUUAAGGCUGAGCUGUGAUGGGGAGAAGACAUUGUGUCUUCGAGUCGUUGAUUUCACACUGCCGAGAAAAGCCUCUAGAUAGAAAAUAGGUGCCCGUACCGCAAACCGACACAGGUAGUCAAGAUGAGAAUUCUAAGGUGAGCGAGCGAACUCUCGUUAAGGAACUCGGCAAAAUGACCCCGUAACUUCGGGAGAAGGGGUGCUCUUUAGGGUUAACGCCCAGAAGAGCCGCAGUGAAUAGGCCCAAGCGACUGUUUAUCAAAAACACAGGUCUCUGCUAAACCGUAAGGUGAUGUAUAGGGGCUGACGCCUGCCCGGUGCUGGAAGGUUAAGAGGAGUGGUUAGCUUCUGCGAAGCUACGAAUCGAAGCCCCAGUAAACGGCGGCCGUAACUAUAACGGUCCUAAGGUAGCGAAAUUCCUUGUCGGGUAAGUUCCGACCCGCACGAAAGGCGUAACGAUUUGGGCACUGUCUCAACGAGAGACUCGGUGAAAUCAUAGUACCUGUGAAGAUGCAGGUUACCCGCGACAGGACGGAAAGACCCCGUGGAGCUUUACUGUAGCCUGAUAUUGAAAUUCGGCACAGCUUGUACAGGAUAGGUAGGAGCCUUUGAAAC
rnacentral:rRNA from 1 species